ACUUAUCCUUCACCAUUGUCUUUUCAUUGGUUGGAGUUAUCACCGUUGUUUCUGGUGGUGCAGGUAUAACCUUUACGUCACCACCAUGGUCCGAUGCUGGUUGCCUAUGCCCAUCAUUAGCUUGCUUCAUCUCUAUUUCUCUAUCAAAAGCGCUGAGCUGAGUGAUUGUUGAAUUUUCGCUGGGACUGGGGUAGUGAGUUGUUGACUGAUCAUCCGAAGCCGAAUCUUCAUAACUAUCAACUGCCAUCUCUGGUUCGUACUCUGACGUCACAGGGUGUGGCUAAUUACUUGGGGCUCCUUGGUAAUUAGGAUCUUCCUCAUCUGCCUCGUCCAAGCUAACUCCCCAGGGCGGUGUGACACUAUUUUCUUUGCCUCCAUGUCUUUUCUUCACAAGCAUCUGCCUCCAUUUCUUUGCCUUCUCCUUCACCCUCACCAUGAUCGACUUCUUUGCCUGCUGUUGGUGGUGACUGAAAUCAUCCUCAUCGUUGUACAAGUUUACCAGUGUUGGUGUUGUCGGCGCCAACCAAUGUCCAUUUGGAGAUGAUUCACCUUCACAUACAUUGAAUUGCAAUGAUGUAGCAAAAUAAGAAGCAAACGUAGAGAUGAGCGGGGAACUAUCAUGUCAAGUUUUGAACCUUUCCGGGAGCGUAGAUUCUUGUUUGGAAUAAGCUGUUCUCGUUGAGGGUAGACCGGAUAUGAUCUGCUUCGUUCUGUUUGAGCCAUCUGCUGUCCUUCCUCUCUUUCUUCACCCUAUUGCUUCUGUUUCCUGGCUUCUCAGGAACAUGGAAAGGUCUCAGGAACUGGCAAAGGAAGCAUCCAGGGGAUUGCUCUGCAUUUAACCAGGGUGUGGUUGCAGAAGAUCACCAAGUUUGUAGCAGAUUUGAUGGUCGGGACGAGGUGCAACUUCUUGACCACCCUUUGCUGAGGCGCCUGUAAGAGUGCCAUAUGUGUGGACCAUUGGAGACCUCGCAUGAGCUCAGCACCGUAUCAAAUUCGAAUAGGAGUUUGCCAUACGUGUAAGCUUGUAUAAAUCGUGAAUGUGUUGAAUAGGAGUUUUUCCCUUUUCUUGUGGGAGAUCUUUGAUUGAA